rnacentral:rRNA from 1 species
AGGACGAACGCUGACGGUGUGCUUUAGACAUGCAAGUCGAACGAGAAAGCCCUUCGGGGUGAGUACAGUGGCGAACGGGUGAGUAACACGUGGGCAAUCUGCCCCUCGCAGGGGGGAUAACCGGGGGAAACCCCGGCUAAUACCCCGUAAGCUUGCGGAGUCGCAUGGCUCCGUAAGGAAGGUAGCUUCGGCCAUCCGGCGAGGGAUGAGCCCGCGGUACAUUAGCUAGUUGGUGGGGUAACGCCCACAAGGCGACGAUGUAUAGCUGGUCUGAGAGGAUGAUCAGCCACACUGGGACUGAGACACGGCCCAGACUCCGUACGGGAGGCAGCAGUCGGGAAUCUGCGCAAGUGGGACGAAGCCUGACGCAGCAACACCGUGUGAGCGACGAAGGCCGUUCGGGUCGUAAACGCUCGUGUUAGGUUGGGACGUAAAGGGUUAGGGUUAAGUACGCCCCGAACCGUGACGGUACCCUCGGACGGAACGCCCCGGUACUAACCGACGU